AAACCCCUGAGCGCGUGGCGGUACGUGUUCCUGAUCACAGUGGGCAUCUACCUGGUCACCGGUUCCCUCUACGUCUUCCUGAUCUCCGAGAAGCCGCAGUACUGGAACGAGCCCAAGCUGUGCAGAGCAGGAAAGGAGUGCGAUAACGAGGUCAAGGUCAGCCUCGCCUCGACGGUGACCACGCCGACCUCUCCGACGUCACCGCUCGACCCUGUUAUCUGUUAACUCGGCGCGACAAGGCCUGGUCUUAAUGAAUUUUUAAGAAUCAUAUUUGUAGAGAGAAUGUGAGAGUUUUUUUUAGAGAGUUUUAUUAAGGGGUUUAAGAGAGAGGGAGGAAGAGAGUUGCAAUCUCAAGGAACGGAAGUGUAAAAUCGCCUGCAUCCAAUCAGGCUGAAGUGAUCAUAGCGCUGACCUGUCCCGGGAAUGAUUGACAGGGAGCGCCGUCAUAUGACAGGCGGAAUAGACAGGCAGCUCCACAUGCAUUGCGUGAUUUGUGAAGCCAUUGCUCAAUAGGGGAGAAACAGGACAAUGAUAGUAUAUGACGUAAGGUGCAGAAAGCAAAGUAAGUAUACUCGGUUGUAUAUAUAUAUAGUUCGUUGAAAUGCAAAACAGUACGACUUGCUUCAGCCUUUCUUCAAGCACUUGCAUUCGACGCGGUUGAAAGCUCGCUAAUACCACAGUAAGGAAUCACUGUGUAGUUGUGGAACCCGAGUCUUCCCAGAGGGUUCCAGAAAGGUACAGUGAGAAGCCUCCUCGUGCCAGGUCGGGACUGGGCAGUUCCUCCGGUCCUCUGUGUCAUUCCUUCCCUUCCAUGUUCAUAUUCCAGGAGUCAUUACCAGACAGAAGUGUAUUAGAAACCCAUUUUCUAUUCGAAGGCGUUCUCCUCCUGAUAAAAAAAACAACAAAAAAAC